rnacentral:rRNA from 1 species
UCCCAGACUCCUACGGGAGGCAGCAGUGGGGAAUAUUGGGCAAUGGAGGCAACUCUGACCCAGCAACGCCGCGUGAAUGAUGAAGGUCUUCGGAUUGUAAAGUUCUUUUCUAAGGGAAGAAGAAAGUGACGGUACCUUAGGAAUAAGCCUCGGCUAACUACGUGCCAGCAGCCGCGGUAAUACGUAGGAGGCAAGCGUUAUCCGGAAUGACUGGGCGUAAAGGGUGCGUAGACGGCAGCGCAAGUCUGAAGUGAAAUGCCGGGGCUUAACCCCGGAACUGCUUUGGAAACUGUGCAGCUAGAGUGCGGGAGAGGUAAGUGGAAUUCCUAGUGUAGCGGUGAAAUGCGUAGAUAUUAGGAGGAACACCAGUGGCGAAGGCGGCUUACUGGACUGUAACUGACGUUGAGGCUCGAAAGCGUGGGGAGCAAACAGGAUUAGAUACCCUUGUA